UACGUAGGGCGCAAGCGUUAUCCGGAAUUAUUGGGCGUAAAGAGCUCGUAGGCGGUUUGUCGCGUCUGCCGUGAAAGUCCGGGGCUCAACUCCGGAUCUGCGGUGGGUACGGGCAGACUAGAGUGAUGUAGGGGAGACUGGAAUUCCUGGUGUAGCGGUGAAAUGCGCAGAUAUCAGGAGGAACACCGGUGGCGAAGGCGGAUCUCUGGGCCGUAACUGACGCUGAGGAGCGAAAGCAUGGGGAGCGAACAGG
rnacentral:rRNA from 1 species